rnacentral:rRNA from 1 species
UACGAAGGGGGCUAGCGUUGCUCGGAAUUACUGGGCGUAAAGCGCACGUAGGCGGCUUUCUAAGUCGGGGGUGAAAUCCUGGAGCUCAACUCCAGAACUGCCUUCGAUACUGGAAAGCUCGAGUCCGGGAGAGGUGAGUGGAACUGCGAGUGUAGAGGUGAAAUUCGUAGAUAUUCGCAAGAACACCAGUGGCGAAGGCGGCUCACUGGCCCGAUACUGACGCUGAGGUGCGAAAGCGUGGGGAGCAAACAGG